rnacentral:rRNA from 1 species
GAUGAACGCUAGCGGCAGGCCUAAUACAUGCAAGUCGAGGGGUAGAAGAGGCUUGCUUCUUUGAGACCGGCGCACGGGUGCGUAACGCGUAUGCAACCUACCUUCAUCUGGGGGAUAGCCCGGCGAAAUCCGGAUUAAUACCGCAUAAAAUCACAGGAUGGCAUUAUCCAAGGAUAAAACAUUUAUGGGAUGGGGACGGGCACGCGUGUCAGUAGCGCGUUGGCGGGGUAACGGCCCGCCAAGGCGACGAGGACUAGGGGAUCUGAGAGGAUGGCCCCCCACACUGGUACUGAGACACGGACCAGACUCCUACGCGAGGCAGCAGUAAGGAAUAUUGGUCAAUGGAGGCAACUCGGAACCAGCCAUGCCGCGUGCAGGAAGACUGCCCUAUGGGUUGUAAACUGCUUUUAUUCGGGAAUAAACCUUAUUACGUGUAAUAAGCUGAAUGUACCGAAGGAAUAAGGAUCGGCUAACUCCGUGCCAGCAGCCGCCGUAACAC